GGAGGGAUCAUUACAGAGUUCGUGCCCUGCGGGGUAGGCCUCCCACCCGUGACAUCCACACCCUCGUUGCCUUGGCGGGCUGCUGCGCGAGCCCCCCCCCGCGGGGGCUCCCGCGCCCGCCAGCGGCCCCAAACCCUACGUCUACGUGUCGUCCGAGUACCAUACAAUCGUUAAAACUUUCAACAACGGAUCUCUUGGUUCUGGCAUCGAUGAAGAACGCAGCGAAAUGCGAUAAGUAAUGUGAAUUGCAGAAUUUAGUGAAUCAUCGAAUCUUUGAACGCACAUUGCGCCCUAUGGCAUUCCGUAGGGCAUGCCUGUCCGAGCGUCAUUACACCCCUCAAGCACUGCUUGGUCCUGGGCCGCGCCCCUGGGCGGGCCUCAAACGCAGUGGCGGUGCUUCCAGGCCCUGAGCGUAGUACAUCACCCGCUACAGCGGCCGGGGAGCUGCCCGCCAGCAACCCCUAUUCUCUCGGUUGACCUCGGAUCAGGUAGGGAUACCCGCUGAACUUAAGC
rnacentral:sRNA from 1 species